UAUAUCUUAGUAUAUGAAGUACAUUAAUUUUUGAUAUUAAUAGAGAUAGUUUGAUUCUAUUAGGUAUAU
rnacentral:tRNA from 1 species